rnacentral:sRNA from 1 species
CAACAAUGAAACUUCCUUUCCUGGGCUUCUGAGCACUCUCCGAAGAUGGAAGCCCUUACACUUGGUGGGUUGGCAAAGCCAACGAGAAGCACUACUACUG